AACAGUCAAUGAAAAAUCAUAUAUUUAGUACCUUCCUCUCAUCAGGACCCACCCCAAAACUGAAUCUCAGAUAAAAUCAGCCAGCUAAUUAUCUUUAAGGUCCAUGGAAGACAAGACGCUUUCACUAGGUGAUGGAGUCUGUCUCCUCAUCUGUUUUUCCAGCAUUGGAGAAUCAGGGAAGAAUAGUUGGUGUCAUUAUGGGUUUAUACUUUUUACAGACCUGCACUUUUAAAGCUUUUAUAUAACUGACCGUUUCCACUCAUUCAGAAGAGAUUAUUUGGUGGCUACAUGCACUGGUGCCCAAAUUCAUGUCUGAAAUGAUUAAGAGAGGAAGGGUGAUAUUGAUGGCUUUAUUUUCCUGCCAUUUCAA
rnacentral:lncRNA from 1 species